GGGAGGGGGCACCCCCUCCCGCCCUGCGCGCCCGGCUCCGCUCCCUCCGUCUCUCCCCUUGCUCUUUUUCCUUAAUUUUCUUUUAUUUUCCCUCCCCCACCCCCACCUAUUUAUUCUCCAUUUUGUUUUGUUUUGGCGUUUCUUCCUGGUUUGGUUUGGUUUGUUUUGUUCUUCUUUUUUCCAUUCUUGCCUUCUCUCCGCUCCCCGGACGAACACGAAAUUCCCGGUGCCCGCGGAGGCGGAGGGGAGCGGGCAGGAGGCAGCGGAGCGGUGCGGGGCUCGCAGCCCCCAGCCCCACACCGGGCACUGCCUCCCCUCCCGGGAUGCAGGUUCUGCAUUUGGGAGUUCAAAACAACCCUCCAUCCAGAGCCCUCCAGGAACUGGAAAAUCCAGAUUUGCAGCAUCUCCCAGGGAAAGACGAUUUCCUACGUGCCCCCCCCAGCGUGAGGGUCCUGCUGAAGGUUAAACUCGUGAGUGCCUUUGGUUUUGCACCAAGUUAAUCUCCCCACAAAAUAAAAGACUGGGGAAGUGCUGGUGAAAACUGGUCCCUGGCUUGCUCCCAUUCCCGUUCCAGAGCCAGACGUGGAUUUCACCUCCUCUGCCAGCACGGAAUGCUCAUCCCCACACUGUGCCCUGGCCUGCUUCAGCUUCCCUGCCUGAAAACAGGGUAAACCCAUCCACCUCCCCGGGGUACAUUAGGGUGGCUUAAAAUUAACACUCACAAAUGUAUUUUCAAAUCCCUUCAUGAAAGGCAUGGGAAGCUCUGGGUGUUAGCAGAAUAGAUCAUUCACCUUUUAACAGCUGUUAAUUGCCAUUAAAACCAAACCUGCACAGCUUUAUUGGAGCAGCAUCUGAGUUUCCGUGUCGCACGCCGCGCGUUGCAAAGCUCGCGUCCGCCCUCGGUCGUGCCCUCCUGCACGUGCCUGCUGCCAGGAUGAGCUGUGGUGGAUAAAUCCCGUCUCACUGGUGGUUAUCUUGCACUUUGGGGCCUUUUGGAGGGUUUCCUGGUGCCAGGUUUUUCCCUUCGCCGUCCUGUGAGUUGUUGCAUCAGUUGCAGGAGCUCGACACACCUGCCCUUGACUCGCAGUGGGAAAGAAGAUGGGAUGCAAGACUUGUUCCCAAAAAUACCCCGAGGAAGCAAGCAGGAGCCUGCCCUCGAGGAACUGGGUCCCUGAGGCUGAAUCCAGCCCGCAGCUGCCAGCAAAAGCACGUGCUGGGUGUCACAGGGAUGGGAAUAGCUCUCUGUGACCAAUGUGGAGUAAAUCAACAGGCUGGGCUGGGGAAAGGCUGCCAGCACUGCUCCCCCCGCUCCCAUCCACCGUGCUGGGUGUCCCUUCCCUGCUGCUUUGGGGGUUCAUUGACCUGAUCCCUUCCAUGGCAUCCCCCCAUCACCCUGCAGCCCAGAUCUGGCAGGGGGGAAACUGCUCUGGAAGGAGCUCUCCUGCUGUCUCUGAAGCCACUGGCUCCUCACAUCCCCCACAGGUGCUUUGUGCACUCCCAAACAUCCAGACCCACCCGGGAGUGCCCUGUGCCACCAAACUGCAGGUGCUAAAACACAGGAGGUGGAUUCAGCAGGGCUCAGCGACUCCGAGCAUCUUGUUAGACCCCAGGCUUUCCUCUCCCCCUGGAUCCAGCACAAGGAGGGGGAGUCCAGGGCUGGCUCCCAGGGCUAUCCCAUCUCUGUUCCCAUCACCCAGCCCUCUGUGUGGGGGAAGGGGUGAUUGGACAAGACGAGCCCUUUCUGCUCCACAAAGCUCGUCAGCCAGCAGCACUGGGCUUAUAAUUAUUAUUUCCUUAAAGACGAGCCGAGCAGCAAUAGACAAAAAAGUCCCCUCUUGUCGGAGCUGGAAUUUGAUGUCCUAACGACUGUUUUUGUACCGCGCCUGUUAGAGGAAAGAGCUCGGCAGGAGGGGGAAAGAGAGAUUUAAUUAUAGAGCUGCAUUGUGAUUUUGCACACAUAGCUGGCUGUUGUAAUCAGGUUACAAGUGUAUCUGAUUUUCUUCCCUCCCCUCCCUCUUCCUCCUCUUUCUCUUUCUUUUCUUCUUUUUUUUUUCCCUCCCCCUUUUUCCUUUCGGUGGUCCAAAUUAGUUGCUUAUGUUUGGGUGUUGCAGAGACGAGCUGUUAUUUGCCUUCAGUGAAGAUCUUGAUCUAGGGAACAGUGUUUCCAAAGAACCUCGGCAGCUCUUUGCGAAGGAAGGCAAUGGUUCCCAGCUCCGGCAGAAACCAGCGGGGCUGUGCUGGGCACUCGCAUCCCACCUUCCCAGGGCUCCCUUCCCACCACCAAAUUAAGGGGAGACACUCAUAAAUAUAUUUAAAAUAUAUAUAUACACACACAUAUAUCUGCCUCCCCCAUGCUCCCCGCCAAAUUCCUUCACAUCCAGGAUUCCCUCAAUAAAUUGAUGCACUUGAAGAAGAGAAGAAGCCCAUUUUACCUUACCUGGGGCAGGAGAAGAGAAAGAGGAGACAAGAACCUUUUGAAAGGAAACUUAAUAUUUUCCCUAUCUGAGGCAAGUGACGCCGCAGUGGGAUUGGGGGCUGUUGUUGGGUUCAUUUAGGAAUCCAUUGUUGUCCAUGUGAAUUCUUUUUUACAUUUCAAAUAACAGGAUUAUUUCCCCAGGGGGUAAUAUCCUGUAAUUUGAACACAAUAAUGGGAAUAAAUUACUUACUUAGAACUAAUAACGACAGCCUGAUUCCAAUAUAUAUAGGAACUGUAACAGCUUUGGUUAGUUAAAGUGUAAUUGUGUCGA